ACCUUUUGCGUAGUUAGUGUUCUGCAAAGUCUGAAAAAUCACAAAGUUGUGAAUUUUAGUUGAGUUUGAGAAGAGUGAUGGCUCCUAGUCAAAUUAAAAAAUAUAUUGUGAUGAUCUUGUUGAUAACAUUAGUUAUAAUACAAGUGGAAUGCCUCACUCCAUCUCGAGAAUUUAAGUUAAACAAAUUCAAAGUGCCAUUAUGUGAAAUAAUGUGUAACAUUGAGUGUUCAAAGGGCCAAAUUGAUGAUUUUAAAGCAUGCGUGGAAGAUUGUAAAAAAACUAAAUGUUAACAACAACAUUGACAUAUCAUUGGUCUUCGUGCAUGCAAUGCAUACAUACAUUGCUUCAACCUUGAAAUUUUAAAUAAAUACUCCGUAUGCUCUACGAGAUUCAAUGUAAUAAAAUGUAAUCAUAAAGUUGACAUUAUGUCAAAUUUAAUAAAUAUGUUAUCAUUCAAAAUGUUUAUUUUAUAUUUUUAUAAUCA